AAUAGAUACCCCGGUAGUCCACGCCGUAAACGAUGAGUGCUAAGUGUUAGAGGGUUUCCGCCCUUUAGUGCUGCAGCUAACGCAUUAAGCACUCCGCCUGGGGAGUACGGUCGCAAGACUGAAACUCAAAGGAAUUGACGGGGGCCCGCACAAGCGGUGGAGCAUGUGGUUUAAUUCGAAGCAACGCGAAGAACCUUACCAGGUCUUGACAUCCUCUGACAACUCUAGAGAUAGAGCGUUCCCCUUCGGGGGACAGAGUGACAGGUGGUGCAUGGUUGUCGUCAGCUCGUGUCGUGAGAUGUUGGGUUAAGUCCCGCAACGAGCGCAACCCUUGAUCUUAGUCGCCAGCAUUAAGUUGGGCACUCUAAGGUGACUGCCGGUGACAAACCGGAGGAAGGUGGGGAUGACGUCAAAUCAUCAUGCCCCUUAUGACCUGGGCUACACACGUGCUACAAUGGAUGGUACAAAGGGCUGCAAGCCGCGAGGUACAAGCCAAUCCCAUAAAACCAUUCUCAGUUCGGA
rnacentral:rRNA from 1 species